rnacentral:lncRNA from 1 species
CUUGGCCUUACAUAAUCAUCCCCAAACAGCAAUAAUCUUUCCCAAUUCAAAUUUAAUAUAUGACGAAUUCUAAAACUAUUCUGAUCAGAACAAUUGUGCUCAGUUUGUGGAAAGCCUUAAUUCGAUGGCUUGCCCCCCAGCUAUGAAAACAUAUAGACGUACGUAAGACUGUCAAAAUGAUUCUUGCUUCCAAGUGGAGAAAUGGAGAACGAUUGAUAUAUCACACAGAAGAGAAGCCUUAGUUUGCUUUGAGAGAGAAUAUACUACACAAAAGAGAAGCUGGGUCCUUCCAAUUUGAUUCCAGUAUAAGGUUUUGGUCUUUUGGAGAGAAAAUUAAGAAAGAAAAAAAAUGGAUGGUAGACCGAUUUGAACCGAGCGGGCUUGGAAUUAGCUAAAACAUAGAGCCAAGCCUGCUGUACAUGCAGAUAUGCUCAUAUAGUAUAUACUAACUAACUUAUUUGUCAAAACCUCUGUUGGCUUAAGCCCCGCCUGAUCCUUCCUAUAGCUAUCCUUCCUGUAGAAUUAUUUGUAGCUAUCCUUGUUUUGCUAUCCUUUCUUU